GACAGAGGGUGCAAACGUUGUUCAGAAUUACUGGGCGUAAAGCGCGUGUAGGCGGUCUCGCAAGUCGGAUGUGAAAGCCCAGGGCUCAACCCUGGAAGUGCACUCGAUACUGCGAGGCUAGAGUCCCGGAGAGGAUGGUGGAACUCUCGGUGUAGAGGUGAAAUUCGUAGAUAUCGAGAAGAACACCGGUGGCGAAGGCGGCCAUCUGGACGGUGACUGACGCUGAGACGCGAAAGCGUGGGGAGCAAACAGG
rnacentral:rRNA from 1 species